rnacentral:rRNA from 1 species
UGAGGGAAAGUUGCAAAGAACUUUGAAGAGAGAGUUCAAGAGUACGUGAAACUGUCCAGAGGCAAACCGGUGGGCCCUCGAAAUCCUCCUGCGGGGUGAUUCAGGCGGGACCGUGCGGGGCGGACAGGCCCGGGGUUCCGUGCGUGUCUUAACGGACGCGCGCGGACAACGGGUCGGUUCCGGUCCCCGUCGGACCCGUCGCAUUUCUCUCCCGCACCGAGGACGCCGCAACCGGUCGGGUAGCCGCGAGAGUCGGCCGUAAGGAGAGAGGUAACGUAGGCGGUCGGUGCGGCACCCGUUGUCGUACCGUCCGUCGAAGCCUCUCCCGCGUGGCACGACACCCGACCGAGGACGAUUCGCUCCCUGCGACCCUCUCGGGGGUUGCAGCGGCGGCCGGGCCAGACGUGCGGCGUCGGUCGCCCCGUUCUCACCGCUCGCGGUGGUCGGGGCCCCGUCACCGUCGUUGGGUCCGUCACCGCCGCGGAGGAGGAGGCGAAGUUGGCGGCGGUCAGGUCGGUCACCCACCCGACCCGUCUUGAAACACGGACCAAGGAGUCUAACAUGUGCGCGAGUCGCAGAGUCUUGAACAGGCUCGCGGGCGCAGUGAAAGUGAUCUCGUCGAGACCUCUCGAUCCUCGGAGAGAGAGGGCACCGACGGCCCGCCCUGUGCCGGUCCGCCGGCCGGGCGGAGUCGGAGCGCACACGUUGGGACCCGAAAGAUGGCGAACUAUGCCUGGGCAGAACGAAGCCAGAGGAAACUCUGGUGGAGGUUCGCAGCGGUUCUGACGUGCAAAUCGAAUCGUCAGACCCGGG